rnacentral:rRNA from 1 species
CAUUUAAAGUGGUACGCGAGCUGGGUUUAGAACGUCGUGAGACAGUUCGGUCCCUAUCUGCCGUGGGCGCUGGAGAAUUGAGGGGGGCUGCUCCUAGUACGAGAGGACCGGAGUGGACGCAUCACUGGUGUUCGGGUUGUCAUGCCAAUGGCACUGCCCGGUAGCUAAAUGCGGAAGAGAUAAGUGCUGAAAGCAUCUAAGCACGAAACUUGCCCCGAGAUGAGUUCUCCCUGACCCUUUAAGGGUCCUGAAGGAACGUUGAAGACGACGACGUUGAUAGGCCGGGUGUGUAAGCGCAGCGAUGCGUUGAGCUAACCGGUACUAAUGAACCGUGAGGCUUAACCUU